CAGAAUCUUCCGAAAAUACGCGUCAGCGAUGUUCAUCGCAUUGUUGAUGCCUGGUCCCCUGCUCCAACAAGCAAGAGGGACAAGGGCUUUAAACUCUACAUAUCGAGUUAUCUGCACAACUACAAGGGAGCACACACUCUACAAAGGCCUGACUGGAGAUUUGCCUGAUCUAUCCGUCCUUCAGAUGACAGCGGCUCACUUCAAGAGCAGGUGAAGCAAGUUGGGACAAUGUUGAAGACAUUUGCUCGCACUGGGCAAUCAGGUGCAGAUCAAACCCUAAUGCUGCGACGUCUUGGAAUUUGGCGAUGUUGUGCGUAGCAUGGACGACAAAAUGCUAUGCUGCAACGUUUCAGUGCCAAUGUGUCUGUUGGAGAGUUAUCCCUGCCAGGGGAUCUGUUACUCCCCCCUAGACACCCAGGAAGAUUUGGCGUUGCUUGACAACAGUUUGAGGCAGGAUAAAGAGCUCCAGCAACGAUUUCUUCGGUUUUUGGCAAUCAAAUGUGGGAGGGACCUAAAGACAACCGUGUGGCGAAUGCUUCAGAGUAUCUUCUCUAAUCACCUUUCCAUCAAUACAACCUGGACUGGUGUAGGGGAUAAAGCAUGUUUUAGAGACAUGUUCCUGAAGACCAUUGUUCAAAGUAAGUUGGAUAUUUUUUUUAUAUUUAAGUAGAUGUGUAUGACCUUAUGCCAUUCAAAUGGAAUGACAGAUCUUUAUUUUCUACAGGAGCCAUCCGGAAGAA